rnacentral:rRNA from 1 species
UACGUAGGGGGCAAGCGUUGUCCGGAAUCAUUGGGCGUAAAGAGCGUGUAGGCGGCCCGAUAAGUCCGCUGUGAAAGUCCAGGGCUCAACCCUGGGAUGCCGGUGGAUACUGUCGGGCUCGAGUCCGGAAGAGGAGUGUGGAAUUCCUGGUGUAGCGGUGGAAUGCGCAGAUAUCAGGAGGAACACCAAUGGCGAAGGCAGCACUCUGGGACGUGACUGACGCUGAGACGCGAAAGCGUGGGGAGCAAACAGG